GACGAACGCUGGCGGCGUGCCUAACACAUGCAAGUCGAGCGGGAACCUCAGGAGGGGUAACCCUUCCGAGGGGAGAGCGGCGAACGGGUGAGUAACACGUGGGCAACCUGCCCCGGACACCGGGAUAACCCAGGGAAACCUGAGCCAAUACCGGAUACUCCGGCGCGAUCGCAUGGUCGCGCCGGGAAAGCUCCGACGGUCCGGGAUGGGCCCGCGGCCUAUCAGCUUGUUGGUGGGGUAACGGCCCACCAAGGCGACGACGGGUAGCUGGUCUGAGGGGACGGCCAGCCACACUGGGACUGAGACACGGCCCAGACUCCUACGGGAGGCAGCAGUGGGGGAUCUUGCGCUAAUGCGCGAAAGCGUGACGCAGCGACGCCGCGUGGGGGAUGAAGGCCUUCGGGUUGUAAACCCCUUUCGGCAGGGACGAAGGGAAACUGACGGUACCUGCAGAAGAAGUCCCGGCUAACUACGUGC
rnacentral:rRNA from 1 species